rnacentral:rRNA from 1 species
AUGUCGCAGAGGCCGGGGAGGCACCAGAGGAGGGCGUCGCAGAGUGUGUUCUCGCUGCCGGAGAACUUCGCCAGCCUGGAGGACGUGCCGGCGGACGGCGUCGGCGAGCAGCGGAAGCCCGCCGCGGCUGGGGCGGACGCCUCCGAGCAGCAGCCCGCGAGGCCGGCGGGGCGCCACCGCCGGGCAAUGUCGAUGGCCGUGCCCUCCAGGGACCUGGACAUGAUCGUGGAGGACAUGGGAAGCUAUAAGUACGGCGCCUGA